GCUACACAUGCAGUCGAGCGGGGAANNGGGUAGCUUGCUACCUGGAACCUAGCGGCGGACGGGUGAGUAAUGCUUAGGAAUCUGCCUAUUAGUGGGGGACAACAUUCCGAAAGGAAUGCUAAUACCGCAUACGCCCUACGGGGGAAAGCAGGGGAUCUUCGGACCUUGCGCUAAUAGAUGAGCCUAAGUCAGAUUAGCUAGUUGGUGGGGUAAAGGCCUACCAAGGCGACGAUCUGUAGCGGGUCUGAGAGGAUGAUCCGCCACACUGGGACUGAGACACGGCCCAGACUCCUACGGGAGGCAGCAGUGGGGAAUAUUGGACAAUGGGCGCAAGCCUGAUCCAGCCAUGCCGCGUGUGUGAAGAAGGCCUUUUGGUUGUAAAGCACUUUAAGCGAGGAGGAGGCUACUUGGAUUAAUACUCUAGGAUAGUGGACGUUACUCGCAGAAUAAGCACCGGCUAACUCUGUGCCAGCAGCCGCGGUAAUACAGAGGGUGCGAGCGUUAAUCGGAUUUACUGGGCGUAAAGCGUGCGUAGGCGGCUUUUUAAGUCGGAUGUGAAAUCCCUGAGCUUAACUUAGGAAUUGCAUUCGAUACUGGGAAGCUAGAGUAUGGGAGAGGAUGGUAGAAUUCCAGGUGUAGCGGUGAAAUGCGUAGAGAUCUGGAGGAAUACCGAUGGCGAAGGCAGCCAUCUGGCCUAAUACUGACGCUGAGGUACGAAAGCAUGGGGAGCAAACAGGAUUAGAUACCCUGGUAGUCCAUGCCGUAAACGAUGUCUAC
rnacentral:rRNA from 1 species